rnacentral:rRNA from 1 species
GCUCAAAUUUGAAAUCUGGCACCUUCGGUGUCCGAGUUGUAAUUUGUAGAAGGUAACUUUGGAAUUGGCUCUUGUCUAUGUUCCUUGGAACAGGACGUCACAGAGGGUGAGAAUCCCGUGCGAUGAGGUGCCCAAUUCUAUGUAAAGUGCUUUCGAAGAGUCGAGUUGUUUGGGAAUGCAGCUCUAAGUGGGUGGUAAAUUCCAUCUAAAGCUAAAUAUUGGCGAGAGACCGAUAGCGAACAAGUACAGUGAUGGAAAGAUGAAAAGAACUUUGAAAAGAGAGUGAAAAAGUACGUGAAAUUGUUGAAAGGGAAGGGCUUGAGAUCAGACUUGGUAUUUUGCGUUCCUUCCCCUCGUGGGUUGGUUCCUCGCAGCUUACCGGGCCAGCAUCGGUUUGGAUGGUAGGAUAAUGACAUUGGAAUGUGACACCGCUUCGGUGGUGUGUUAUAGCCUUUGUUGAUACUGCCUGUCUAGACCGAGGACUGCGUCUUUGACUAGGAUGUUGGCAUAAUGAUCUUAAGUCGCCCGUCUU